UACGUAGGGUGCGAGCGUUGUCCGGAAUUAUUGGGCGUAAAGAGCUUGUAGGCGGUUUGUCGCGUCUGCUGUGAAAAUCCGGGGCUCAACCCCGGACUUGCAGUGGGUACGGGCAGACUAGAGUGUGGUAGGGGAGACUGGAAUUCCUGGUGUAGCGGUGGAAUGCGCAGAUAUCAGGAGGAACACCGAUGGCGAAGGCGGGUCUCUGGGCCGUAAACUGACGCUGGAGGAGCGAAAGCGUGGGGAGCGAACAGG
rnacentral:rRNA from 1 species